AUGAGUGAAGAACAGAACAGAAUCCAUUUCCUCUUCAAACUGCUGUCAGACAUUAUCUACUGCACUCUGAUCACAUCACUCAGACCAGCUGCUUUCUACAAAGUCUCAUCAACAACAUCUUUAGAAACAAACAUCAACAACCAGGAAGCAGCUUCACCUCUGAUCACACACACACUCAACUCUACUCACUCACCUGGAGGAUCAACAACACUCAGGUCCAUGAUACAGAUAGGCUUGUUCUUGAUGACGGUCUUCUUGUGGCUGUAUCCUCUCUGGACGACACGACACUCGUAUGUCCCACUGUCAGCAAUCAUCACAUCCUUCAGAAUCAAAGACACGUCUCCAUCCUUCAUCUGUCUGUCCUGCAGAUCCACCCGGUUCUUAAAAGAUGGAUGCUGGUCUUCAAGUACAGACCCCUCAUCUCUGUACAAAAGGACAUACUCAUCCAGGUCAGCUCUGCUCCACUCCACAAAUAUGUUGUUGUUGUUUGGAGCUCGACAUGUCAGAGUGAUGUUCUGUCCAGACUCAGCUGUGAUGAUUUUGUGUUCUGAAAGAGGAAACAACACAGAUCAGAGAGGUUAAAGGUCAAAGUACAACUGUUCACCUGUACAACUGAUUAACCUCACUGUUCAUCAUUGGAAUCUUCUAUUUAAAAAGAUUUAAGGAUUUCUGUCUUAUAAAAUGUUUCAGCAUUUUCAAUCAGGAUGACUACAGUAACUUUGAGUCAUGUUUACAAUGCACACUAUAGUGAUUUUAAAAAGGAACUAAAAGGAUUAAACUCUGGUCUCUGUUGAUCUGAUCGGUGGCAUCAGAAGGAAGAUGUUGGCUUGUGAUUUAUUUCACAGAAACACAUUUAUUUUAACUUCAUUAAAAAUAUUUUAAUCAGUAUAAUUUGCUUUGUUAUCUGAAGGUAAUGUUGACACUUCUGCAUUUCAGAGAACUGGAAAUAUCAGAUUAAAGACUGUGAGGUAAAGAAAUGUAAAGAAGUCAGCCAUCUGAUGUAAAAACCAGUUAAUCUGGAGCACCAACAUUGACAGCUCAGGUAAAAAGUGACCUUGCAGCCUAGACAAGCUGCAGGGCUGAAGUCACGUUGGUGUUUGGUGCACGCACUGCAGGUGUUUUUGAGGUGAAUCGGUGGUAAAAUUUAAAAUAGGCCCACUGUGAAAUGUCUAAUCCUCUGUUAAUUGACCUAUAUGUCUUUUUUUAAUUUAUUGCCAUGUGUUGAGAUUAUCCAUGUUAAGAUAUUGUGCACACAAUUUCCAUUAUUGUUAUUAUUAUUCUUUUUUAUUUCUUUUUUAAAAACACAGACCACUUUUGAAAGCCCCCCUGGGGUACAGCUUAAAUUGAAUGCUUUAAUGUUUUUUGUAGAUUUUUAUCCUUCUUGUCUGACUAAAACAUGUUUGUUCUAUUGCAGCCAACUCAGUUGACACCAAUCUGAAAUCAGCUGAUGAGAAGUGGUGACAAAUUUAACACACUUUAAGUGAAAUAGUCAAACAUUCACUAGAUUAAAAACAAAACAUUUAAACAUGAAACAGAAUGUAAUAAAUUCAGAUUUCACCUCCAGAAGCAGCAGAACAGAAGACCAGGAGAGACAGGAAAAUCCAGUAAAGUAGCAAAAAUGUUGUAGCAUUCAUCUAUGCUCUGAGUUCCAAUUAUCAGACUGAAUGCUGAAAUAGUUCCCAAGUAGAAAAAAAAGUUUCCACUCUGCACCAAACUCCCGAGGACAUUAGUUCAGGCUAAGUUUCAAAUGCCUUUGAAAACUCUCACCAUCUGCUCUCGCUGUAUUUGCACUGUGUGCUGUGUUUCAUGGACAACACAAACACAGUUUACAUUCCUGAAAGGGGGAAGGUCUGCUCAUGGCCUAACA
rnacentral:lncRNA from 1 species